UACGUAGGGUGCGAGCGUUAAUCGGAAUUACUGGGCGUAAAGCGUGCGCAGGCGGGCUUUUAAGCCAGACGUGAAAUCCCCGGGCUUAACCUGGGAAUGGCGUUUGGGACUGGGAGUCUGGAGUGCGGCAGAGGAGACUGGAAUUCCUGGUGUAGCAGUGAAAUGCGUAGAUAUCAGGAGGACCACCGAUGGCGAAGGCAGGUCUCUGGGCUGACACUGACGCUCAUGCACGAAAGCGUGGGGAGCAAACAGG
rnacentral:rRNA from 1 species